UAUUAGGUUGGUGCAAAAGUAAUUGCAGUUUUUGAACUACUUUUAAUGGCAAAAAUCACAAUUACUUUUGCACCAACCCAAUA
rnacentral:miRNA from 1 species